AUUGAACGCUGGCGGCAUGCCUUACACAUGCAAGUCGAACGGUAACAGGUCUUCGGAUGCUGACGAGUGGCGAACGGGUGAGUAAUACAUCGGAACGUGCCUAGUAGUGGGGGAUAACUACUCGAAAGAGUGGCUAAUACCGCAUGCGAUCUACGGAUGAAAGCAGGGGAUCGCAAGACCUUGUGCUACUAGAGCGGCCGAUGGCAGAUUAGGUAGUUGGUGGGAUAAAAGCUUACCAAGCCGACGAUCUGGAGCUGGUCUGAGAGGACGAUCAGCCACACUGGGACUGAGACACGGCCCAGACUCCUACGGGAGGCAGAAGUGGGGAAGUUUGGACGAUGGGCGUAAGCCUGAUCCAGCAAUGCCGCGUGCAGGAUGAAGGCCUUCGGGUUGUAAACUGCUUUUGUACGGAACGAAAAGCCCCGGGUUAAUACCCUGGGGUCAUGACGGUACCGUAAGAAUAAGCACCGGCUAACUACGUGCCAGCCGCCGCGGUAA
rnacentral:rRNA from 1 species